GGCCUGCGAGUGUGAUGGAGUGCACAACAGACUUCGAAUCUGUUAGACGAGGUUCGAUUCCUCGGCAGGCUG
rnacentral:tRNA from 1 species